rnacentral:rRNA from 1 species
GACGAACGCUGGCGGCGUGCUUAACACAUGCAAGUCGAACGGAAAGGCCCUGCUUUUGUGGGGUGCUCGAGUGGCGAACGGGUGAGUAACACGUGAGUAACCUGCCCUUGACUUUGGGAUAACUUCAGGAAACUGGGGCUAAUACCGGAUAGGAGCUCCUGCUGCAUGGUGGGGGUUGGAAAGUUUCGGCGGUUGGGGAUGGACUCGCGGCUUAUCAGCUUGUUGGUGGGGUAGUGGCUUACCAAGGCUUUGACGGGUAGCCGGCCUGAGAGGGUGACCGGCCACAUUGGGACUGAGAUACGGCCCAGACUCCUACGGGAGGCAGCAGUGGGGAAUAUUGCACAAUGGGCGGAAGCCUGAUGCAGCAACGCCGCGUGCGGGAUGACGGCCUUCGGGUUGUAAACCGCUUUCGCCUGUGACGAAGCGUGAGUGACGGUAAUGGGUAAAGAAGCACCGGCUAACUACGUGCCAGCAGCCGCGGUGAUACGUAGGGUGCGAGCGUUGUCCGGAUUUAUUGGGCGUAAAGGGCUCGUAGGUGGUUGAUCGCGUCGGAAGUGUAAUCUUGGGGCUUAACCCUGAGCGUGCUUUCGAUACGGGUUGACUUGAGGAAGGUAGGGGAGAAUGGAAUUCCUGGUGGAGCGGUGGAAUGCGCAGAUAUCAGGAGGAACACCAGUGGCGAAGGCGGUUCUCUGGGCCUUUCCUGACGCUGAGGAGCGAAAGCGUGGGGAGCGAACAGGCUUAGAUACCCUGGUAGUCCACGCUGUAAACGGUGGGUACUAGGUGUGGGGUCCAUUCCACGGGUUCCGUGCCGUAGCUAACGCUUUAAGUACCCCGCCUGGGGAGUACGGCCGCAUGGCUAAAACUCAAAGGAAUUGACGGGGCCCCGCACAAGCGGCGGAGCAUGCGGAUUAAUUCGAUGCAACGCGUAGAACCUUACCUGGGUUUGACAUGGAUCGGGAGCGCUCAGAGAUGGGUGUGCCUCUUUUGGGGUCGGUUCACAGGUGGUGCAUGGCUGUCGUCAGCUCGUGUCGUGAGAUGUUGGGUUAAGUCCCGCAACGAGCGCAACCCUUGUUCACUGUUGCCAGCACGUUAUGGUGGGGACUCAGUGGAGACCGCCGGGGUCAACUCGGAGGAAGGUGGGGAUGACGUCAAGUCAUCAUGCCCCUUAUGUCCAGGGCUUCACGCAUGCUACAAUGGCUGGUACAGAGAGUGGCGAGCCUGUGAGGGUGAGCGAAUCUCGGAAAGCCGGUCUCAGUUCGGAUUGGGGUCUGCAACUCGACCUCAUGAAGUCGGAGUCGCUAGUAAUCGCAGAUCAGCAACGCUGCGGUGAAUACGUUCCCGGG